rnacentral:rRNA from 1 species
AGUGAAUAGAUACCCGGUAGUCCUAGCCGUAAACGAUACUCGCUAGGUGUCGGCCACGGUGCGACCGUUGUCGGUGCCGUAGGGAAAGCCGUGAAGCGAGCCACCUGGGAAGUACGGCCGCAAGGCUGAAACUUAAAGGAAUUGGCGGGGGAGCACCACAACGGGUGGAGCUUGCGGUUUAAUUGGAUUCAACGCCGGAAAUCUUACCGGGACCGACAGCAACAUGAAGGCCAGGCUGAAGACUUUGCCGGAUUAGCUGAGAGGUGGUGCAUGGCCGUCGUCAGUUCGUACUGUGAAAGCAUCCUGUUAAGUCAGGCAACGAGCGAGACCCACGCCCACAGUUGCCAGCGUACUCUCCGGAGUGACGGGUACACUGUGGGGACCGCCGCUGCUAAAGCGGAGGAAGGAAUGGGCAACGGUAGGUCAGUAUGCCCCGAAUAUCCCGGGCUACACGCGAGCUACAAUGGUUGGUACAAUGGGUAUCUACCCCGAAAGGGGAUGGAAAUCUCCUAAAGCCAAUCUUAGUUCGGAUUGAGGGCUGCAACUCGCCCUC